CCCUGACACCUCACACUGUCUGCGGGCCGUUACAGCAGCUGCGGUGUCCGGGUCGUCCUCCGGGGGUGGAAGCGGGACAGAUGUGUGCUGGGGGGGCAGCAGCGCAUGGACAAACUGCUGCCGGUCGACGAGGAAAAUCCUGUCUGCCUCCACAGCCAGCACCUGAUAGUCUCUGUAGGAAGGGAGGGGGGAGCAGGCCAGUGCGGUGGGCACGGGUGCUGGAAGCUGCCGCAGGAAAAUGUGGGCGAAGAGGAAUGAGGGAUCUGCAACACCCAGCACAGCCAGCAUCCUUUCCAUUAACUCGGACGGCUUGCUGUCGCCAAGGCCAUUCAGGGACAGCAGGCGGUCUGCUUUCUCCAGCUCCUACAGUUCAAAGAGUUUCAAAAGGAAAAUUUUGAGUGCGUCGUACUUGAUGUCAGCCGGUGGACCCUCUAACAGCGCCAUAGCCCUGGCUGUCGACGAGGCAUCUAAGGCAGAUACUAUGUGGAAAUACUUUGUAACGUCCUGUGUUAUUCCUUUCAGCUGGAACUGGGCCUCGAUGUGUUGAAACCACGGCCGUGGGUUGUGCUGCCAAAAGUCCGGUAACUUGAUGGUGGCAGCAUAGAUAGCACCGAUAUUAGCCACGCCGCUAGCAGCGGCCAGCGCCGCAUCGGCAGCAUUUUCACCUCUGCCAUUGUGUGACAUAAUGCAGCCGGAUCCAACACAAGUCAAGGUCACCAAUGUGGAGUGCAACAAAUGAGGAGGCAAGAGACGGAGAUGUGUCGGUCUUACUUGUGGGUCACCACGGGGCCACCUAAAGAAGGGGAACCGGCAUGCUUGAAAGAGACAGAUUACAGACAGAGAAUGAUUAACCAUCUCAGCCUGAUUGGAGGGGCUAAUCCUGGAGAAUGCCACCAGUCAAGUUUGGAGCGCUACAGCCUGCGAGGGAAAUGGGCACGGUGAGCCCAGGACAAUUAAGCUGUGCAGCCAGAAGACGAUGACAACACACUUGUCUUGUUCCCUGAGAGAGAGGAAAAGUGACCGAUAAGAAUAAUCCUAUUUCAUAUCAGCCAAAAACUGAUCAACAUGAUACAUAUAACCUUGUCUUGGUAAAGGAUAAAGGCAGAUAACUGUAUUCAGCUCUGGA